rnacentral:tRNA from 4 species
AUGGUCGGGAUAGCUCAGCU